AUCACACUGUAAUAAGAAAGGGAACACCCCCCCAAAGAAGCUUUGAGCUGGCUAAGCUGGCUAUAUUCGGCUAUUUCACAUAGUGAGCGCGACCAAAAUAAAUAUAUGUAAUUAUAUAGGAUCUCCAAAUGCCUGAAAUGAACAUUGCCUUUCAAAUUAUUUUCAGAACUUCAUUGCAUUUAUUUCAGAAGUGCUUUCGACAAACCGGAAGGACAUAGGCUACCUUGAUAUGGAGGGGGCUAAUUUAGGAGAAAGGGCUUGUACACUAAACAUGAUAUUAUUUAGUUGAUUCAUCUUUUUAGAGAAACCAGAGAAAUAGUGUAUGGUUCAAGAUAAAUGUAUUUUCAACGUGAAAAAAAUCUUAGAAAGCAUGGGCUACGUAUAUAGCAACUGAUUGGCGUAUUGACCUACCCACACAGGUAUCUUGCUUUGGUUUGAAAAUGUGUUGCCAAGACCUUUAAGCCAAUCAAUGGGAAAAGGGGGCGGGGAGUAGGUUGCCCGUCAGGUUGGUGGUAUAAUGAAUAGAAUAUAGAGAGGGGGGAUCCAAUCCGGUUUCAGCUAGUUUAUGUUCCGAUAGAACAUUUAUGCUAGCUACACUGUGUUCCAAGGUACUGUUAGAGUCUUACUGAACACAUACAGCAGUACAUUGUUAGCUUGCGCCGUGAUUAGGUUAUCUUCUUUCCUCUUCCUAAAAAAGUAGGCUACAAGUUUAGCAGCAAUGCCGAAAAGAAACAAAGCUAACAAUGACGUCGAAGUCGGAGAGCCCAAGAGGAGGUCUGAAAGACUCAGUGCUAAACCACUGCCAAAGGCACCUGAGCCAAAACCAAAGCAGAAGGCUCCUGCCAAGCCCAAGAAGGUGAAGGAGGUGGUUGAGAAGGUGAAGGCAAAGCCGAAGGAGAAGGAGGAGAAAGAGGAGGCUGAGGUCGAGGAAGAGGAGGAGGAGGAGGAGGAGGCCGCCGCUGAGGAGGAGGAGGCACCCGCAGAGAAUGGAGAGGCUAAAGCUGAUGAGGAGGCGGCAGCCACAGAAGACGAGCCAGAACAGAAAGACGACGAGGCCGCUGAAUAGCACCACCACAAUACUCAAGAGCUCCCCAUACCUCUUUUCAUGUACAAUUCAGAGGACUAUUUUUAUCAACUAUUUUCUAAAAAAAAAAAAUUGCAGGUUUUUUAGUAGCUCAGUAGCAGAAAAACAUUUUAUAGAAAAAAAUGCAAAAAAAAAAAAAAAGAAAAUGCGUUAGAAGAGGGAUCUCAGAGUAUCCUGAUUUUUGUUUUUACAGCUCCUUAACGGGAGUGGUCAUUGAGUGAUCUCUGUGUUUCUCUUUUUUUGUUCUUUCAUUUUUAAAACUCUGUAUUGUUUCAAAGAGGGGAGGGAGUGGGGCUGGUUGCUGCAAAGAUGUCAUGCAAUCACGCCAUUUCUUUGAGGAAUCAGUUUUGUUGAAGGGGGAGUUUUGCCUGAGAGACUAACAUUCCAUAGGCUUUAUGAGGGACUAUGUAUGUAACCUGUAUCGUAUUGGGAGAAGGGUGGGUCUUAUACGAUAUUACAUUGUCUGUCGUUGUUUAUGAUUGGGUGGGCAGGGGUUGAUUGUUUGUGAGCUGUGUUCUAUGAAUUUAAAUUCUCUUAUCCAUGCAGUCUUCUAAAUCAACAGCUUUGAUUGAUCAUCCUGUUACCAUAGUACUGUGUCAUUCAUCAGGCUUUGUGCAUAACAAAUAAUGAGUCUCUGUUUGGUGAUAGCAUUGCAAUAACAUUUGUAUAGCUGCUGUGAACACAACAAUGGUCUUCAUGAUUUCUGUAUGCAGUAUGUAACGGUACUUGUUAUGGAUGACAAAAAAUGGAAUCGUGUUUUAGCCAAGCUAAUGACGUGAACAACAUUACAGUGUUAAAACUACAGGCUAUAGCUAACUGAUGAGCAAAAUGACUGUACUUUCACUUGAACAUACCAGCAGUAGCAAUAUUGUCCCAAGGGUUUUAGUUUUGAAGUACAAAUGUACAGUUUCAUUUUUUUGUAGCUGUAUCUGUGUAAUGAUUGGUAUGAACGUACCAAUAAAAUGGAUGUAAUUUCCUCA
ensembl:lncRNA